UACGGAAGGCAGCAGUGGGGAAUAUUGCACAAUGGGCGAAAGCCUGAUGCAGCUAUGCCGCGUGUAUGAAGAAGGCCUUAGGGUUGUAAAGUACUUUCAUCGGGGAGGAAAAAACAAAACUAAUAAUUUUAUUUCUUGACGUUACCCGAAAAAGAAGCACCGGCUAACUCCGUGCCAGCAGCCGCGGUAAUACGGAGGGUGCUAGCGUUAAUCAGAAUUACUGGGCGUAAAGAGCACGUAGGUGGUUUUUUAAGUCAGAUGUGAAAUCCCUGGGCUUAACCUAGGAACUGCAUUUUGAAACUGAAAUACUAGAGUAUCGUAGAGGGAGGUAGAAUUCUAGGUGUAGCGGUGAAAUGCGUAGAUAUCUGGAGGAAUACCUGUGGCGAAAGCGGCCUCCUAAACGAAUACUGACACUGAGGUGCGAAAGCGUGGGGAGCAAACAGGGAUUUAGGAUACC
rnacentral:rRNA from 1 species